rnacentral:rRNA from 1 species
AGUGAACGCUGGCGGUAGGCCUAACACAUGCAAGUCGAGCGGCAGCACAGUAAGAGCUUGCUCUUACGGGUGGCGAGUGGCGGACGGGUGAGGAAUACAUCGGAAUCUACUUUUUCGUGGGGGAUAACGUAGGGAAACUUACGCUAAUACCGCAUACGACCUACGGGUGAAAGCAGGGGAUCUUCGGACCUUGCGCGAUUGAAUGAGCCGAUGUCGGAUUAGCUAGUUGGCGGGGUAAAGGCCCACCAAGGCGACGAUCCGUAGCUGGUCUGAGAGGAUGAUCAGCCACACUGGAACUGAGACAAGGUCCCGACUCCUACGGGAGGCAGCAGUGGGGAAUAUUGGACAAUGGGCGCAAGCCUGAUCCAGCCAUACCGCGUGGGUGAAGAAGGCCUUCGGGUUGUAAAGCCCUUUUGUUGGGAAAGAAAAGCAGCAGGUUAAUACCCCGCUGUUCUGACGGUACCCAAAGAAUAAGCACCGGCUAACUUCGUG